GAUGAACGCUGGCGGCGUGCCUAAUACAUGCAAGUCGAGCGAACAGACGAGGAGCUUGCUCCUCUGACGUUAGCGGCGGACGGGUGAGUAACACGUGGAUAACCUACCUAUCUUUCUGGUAUAACUUCGGGACUCCGGCGCUAAUACCGGAUAAUAUAUUGAACCGCAUGGUUCAUUAGUGAAAGUCGGUUUUUCUGUCUCUUCUCGCUGCUUCCGCGCCGCUUUAGCUAGUUGGUAAGGUAACGGCUUACCAAGGCAACGCUGCGUAGCCGACGUGAGAGGGGGAUCGGCCACACUGGAAGUGAGACACGGUCCAGAGGCCUACGGGAGGGAGCAGUAGGGAAUCGGCCGCAAUGGGCGAAAGCAUGACGGAGCAACGCCGCGUGAGUGAUGAAGGUCUUCGGAGCGGAAAGCUCUGUUAUGAGGGAAGAACAAAUGUGGAAGGAACUAUGGACGGCGUGACGGUAACGAAUCAGAAAGCCACGGCUAACUACGUG
rnacentral:rRNA from 1 species